UACAGAGGUCCCAAGCGUUUGUUCGGAUUCAUUGGGCGUAAAGGGUGUGUAGGUGGCGCCGUAAGUCGGGUGUGAAAUCUCGGGGCUUAACUCUGAAACUGCAUUCGAUAGCUGCCGUGCUUGAGGACUGGAGAGGAGACUGGAAUUUACGGUGUAGCGGUGAAAUGCGUAGAUAUCGUAAGGAAGACCAGUGGCGAAGGCGGGUCUCUGGACAGUUCCUGACGCUGAGGCACGAAGGUCAGGGGAGCAAACGGG
rnacentral:rRNA from 1 species